rnacentral:tRNA from 1 species
GCCUUCGGAGUGCAGUGGUCUGCACACUCGGCGCAUAUUCUAGAAGUACGUGGUUCGAGUCCCGGCGAGGGCA